UCUUUGGCUAGUCUAAUCAGCAAAUGAAUUUUAGUUUGAACCCCCGAAACUAGGUGAGCUACUUCGGAACAGUCUUAAGAACAAACCCGUCUCUGUUGCAAAAGAGUGGGAUAAUUUCCAAGUAGAGGCGACAAACCUAUCGCACCCAGAGAUAGCUGGUUAUUCAAGAAAAGAAUUUAAGUUCAACCUUAAGUUUCUGUAUUAAACAAAAAACAAAACUUUAGAGCCACUCAAAUAAGGCACAGCUUAUUUGAGGCAGGAUACAACCUACAACACAGGGUAACAUAUAACAAAUAAAUAACAAGUAGGCCUAAAAGCAGCCAUCUUCAAAAAGCGUCAAAGCUUAAUAUUUAUUUUAUUCUAAUCCCAUCUCCCUUUACUAACCCUUCACCUAUAUUGAAUAACUCCAUAAACUUAUGGAAAUUUUUAUGCUAGAACUAGUAACAAGAAAUAGACUUUCUCCUAAAUGUAAGCUUAAGCCACAGCAGACAAACUAUUGGCAAUUAACGUAAAUGAGCACAAUACAGCAACCCUAACAAGAAAAUCCUGUACACACACAACGUUAUCCUUACACCAGAACAUUUAAGGAAAGAUUAAAAGAAAAAGAAGGAACUCGGCAAACCCCAAAACCCCGCCUGUAUUUAAAAAAAAAAUGGAA
rnacentral:rRNA from 1 species